rnacentral:rRNA from 1 species
ACGGAAGGCAGCAGUGGGGGAUAUUGCACAAUGGGCGAAAGCCUGAUGUAGCAACGCCGCGUGAGGGAAGAAGGUUUUCGGAUUGUAAACCUCUGUCCUUGGUGAAGAAGACAGUGACGGUAACCGGGAUAGGAAGCCACGGCUAACUACGUGCCAGCAGCCGCGGUAAUACGUAGGUGGCGAGCGUUGUCCGGAUUUACUGGGUGUAAAGGGAGCGCAGGCGGGACAGCAAGUUGGAUGUGAAAUACCGAGGCUUAACUUCGGAGCUGCAUCCAAAACUGCCGUUCUUGAGUGAAGUAGAGGUAGGCGGAAUUCCGAGUGUAGCGGUGAAAUGCGUAGAUAUUAGGAGGAACAUCGGUGGCGAAGGCGGCUUACUGGGCUUUUACUGACGCUGAGGCUCGAAAGCGUGGGGAGCAAACAGGAUUAGAUACCCUGGUA